GAAACGGACGUUGGGGAGCAAAAGCCUUGGGGAGGAACCGGAAUUAGAUCCCCUGGUAUUCCACGCCGUUAAAGGUUGAGUUGUUAAGUGUUAGGGGUUUUCCGGCCCCUUAAGUGGUGGCAGUUAACGCAUUAAGCAUUCCGCUUGGGAGUACGGUCGCAAGAUUGAAAUUCAAAGGAAUUGACGGGGGCCCCGCACAAGCGGUGGAGCAUGUGGUUAAUUCGAAGCAACGCGAAGAACCUUACCAGGUCUUGACAUCCUCUGACAACCCUAGAGAUAGGGCUUUCCCUUCGGGGACAGAGUGACAGGUGGUGCAUGGUUGUCGUCAGCUCGUGUCGUGAGAUGUUGGGUUAAGUCCCGCAACGAGCGCAACCCUUGAUCUUAGUUGCCAGCAUUUAGUUGGGCACUCUAAGGUGACUGCCGGUGACAAACCGGAGGAAGGUGGGGAUGACGUCAAAUCCAUCAUGCCCCUUAUGACCUGGGCUACACACGAGCUACAAUGGACAGAACAAAGGGCUGCGAGACCGCAAGGUUUAGCCAAUCCCACAAAUCUGUUCUCAGUUCGGAUCGCAGUCUGCAACUCGACUGCGUGAAGCUGGAAUCGCUAGUAAUCGCGGAUCAGCAUGCCGCGGUGAAUACGUUCCCGGGCCUUGUACACACCGCCCGUCACACCACGAGAGUUUGCAACACCCGAAGUCGGUGAGGUAACCUUUAUGGAGCCAGCCGCCGAAGGUGGGGCAGAUGAUUGGGGUGAAGUCGUAACAAGGUAGCCGUAUCGGAAGGUGCGGCUGGAUCACCUCCUUUCU
rnacentral:rRNA from 1 species